rnacentral:rRNA from 1 species
UAGGUGGCAAGCGUUGUCCGGAAUUACUGGGUGUAAAGGGAGCGCAGGCGGGAAAUCAAGUUGGAUGUGAAAUGUCGGGGCUUAACCCCGGAACUGCAUCCAAAACUGAUAUUCUUGAGUGAAGUAGAGGUAGGCGGAAUUCCGAGUGUAGCGGUGAAAUGCGUAGAUAUUCGGAGGAACACCAGUGGCGAAGGCGGCCUACUGGGCUUUAACUGACGCUGAGGCUCGAAAGUGUGGGGAGCAA